rnacentral:lncRNA from 1 species
GGCCGGUGCCACGUAUCAGAGGUCUACGGUGAUUUUGUUUCGUGAUAUGAUUCAUCGUGAAAGCAAAUGCCAUGUUGAUGACAUGAUGGCAAAGUCCCAAGCAGAACAGGAGCAUCCGGUAGACUUGGGGCAAGUUGUUUGACCAGUUGAGAUAACUCAUACUUUUAAGUCUGAAUCAGUGCACUUAUGGAGUGUUGUCCAUCAAGCUACCGAGGCUUGUUGUGAGCGAAUCAGAGGAAUCGAGGUCAAUCCUGCUAAAAAAAAAAAAAAAAAAA